rnacentral:rRNA from 1 species
UACGUAGGUGGCAAGCGUUGUCCGGAUUUACUGGGCGUAAAGAGCGCGCAGGCGGCUGGUCAAGUCCGAUGUGAAAGCUCCCGGCUUAACUGGGAAAUUGCAUCGGAAACUGAUCGGCUGGAAGGUGGGAGAGGGUAGCGGAAUUCCCGGUGUAGUGGUGAAAUGCGUAGAUAUCGGGAGGAACACCAGUGGCGAAAGCGGCUACCUGGCCCAUUCUUGACGCUGAGGCGCGAAAGCUAGGGGAGCAAACGGG